AUUGAACGCUGGCGGCAUGCUUUACACAUGCAAGUCGAACGGUAACAGGCCGCAAGGUGCUGACGAGUGGCGAACGGGUGCGUAAUGCAUCGGAACGUGCCCAGUCGUGGGGGGUAACUACUCGAAAGAGUAGCUAAUACCGCAUACGAUCUAUGGAUGAAAGCGGGGGACCGUAAGGCCUCGCGCGAUUGGAGCGGCCGAUGUCAGAUUAGGUAGUUGGUGGGGUAAAGGAUCACCAAGCCAACGAUCUGUAGCUGGUCUGAGAGGACGACCAGCCACACUGGGACUGAGACACGGCCCAGACUCCUACGGGAGGCAGCAGUGGGGAAUUUUGGACAAUGGGCGCAAGCCUGAUCCAGCAAUGCCGCGUGCAGGAAGAAGGCCUUCGGGUUGUAAACUGCUUUUGUACGGAACGAAACGGCUCUGGUUAAUACCCGGGGCUAAUGACGGUACCGUAAGAAUAAGCACCGGCUAACUACGUG
rnacentral:rRNA from 1 species